rnacentral:rRNA from 1 species
AGAGUUUGAUCAUGGCUCAGAGCGAACGCUGGCGGCAGGCUUAACACAUGCAAGUCGAACGGGCACCUUCGGGUGUCAGUGGCAGACGGGUGAGUAACACGUGGGAACGUGCCCUUUGGUUCGGGACAACUCCGGGAAACUGGAGCUAAUACCGGAUAAGCCCUUCGGGGGAAAGAUUUAUUGCCAAAGGAUCGGCCCGCGUCUGAUUAGCUAGUUGGUGAGGUAAUGGCUCACCAAGGCGACGAUCAGUAGCUGGUCUGAGAGGAUGAUCAGCCACACUGGGACUGAGACACGGCCCAGACUCCUACGGGAGGCAGCAGUGGGGAAUAUUGGACAAUGGGCGCAAGCCUGAUCCCAGCCAUGCCGCGUGAGUGAUGAAGGCCCUAGGGUUGUAAAGCUCUUUUAGCGGGGAAGAUAAUGACGGUACCCGCAGAAUAAGCCCCGGCUAACUUCGUGCCAGCAGCCGCGGUAAUACGAAGGGGGCUAGCGUUGCUCGGAAUCACUGGGCGUAAAGGGCGCGUAGGCGGAUCUUUAAGUCGGGGGGUGAAAGCCCAGGGCUCAACCCUGGAAUUGCCUUCGAUACUGAAGAUCUCGAGACCGGAAGAGGUUAGUGGAACUGCGAGUGUAGAGGUGAAAUUCGUAGAUAUUCGCAAGAACACCAGUGGCGAAGGCGGCUAACUGGUCCGGUUCUGACGCUGAGGCGCGAAAGCGUGGGGAGCAAACAGGAUUAGAUACCCUAGUAGUCC